rnacentral:rRNA from 1 species
GACGAACGCUGGCGGCGUGCUUAACACAUGCAAGUCGAACGGAGUGGCGAACGGGUGAGUAACACAUGGGUGACCUGCCCUGCACUUCGGGAUAAGCCUGGGAAACUGGGUCAAAUACCGGAUAGUGUGGGAUGGGCCCGCGGCCUAUCGUCUUGUCUGGGGGGUAAUGGCCUACCACGGCGGCGACGGAUAGCCGGCCUGGGAGGGUGGACGGCCACAUUGUGACUGGGAGACGGCCCAGACUCCUACGGGAGGCAGCAGUGGGGAAUAUUGCGCAAUGGGCGGAAGCCUGAGGCAGCGACGCCGCGUGGGGGAUGACGGCCUUCGGGUUGUAAACUCCUUUCACCAUCGACGCGGUAGAUGGAGAAGAAGCACCGGCUAACUACGUGCCAGCAGCCGCGGUAAUUC